GUUAAGAUGGCAGAGCCCGGUAAUCGCAUAA
rnacentral:piRNA from 1 species